rnacentral:rRNA from 1 species
CCCUUAGAUGUUCUGGGCCGCACGCGCGCUACACUGAUGCAUUCAACAAGCCUAGCCUUGACCGAGAGGUCCGGGUAAUCUUUGAAACUGCAUCGUGAUGGGGCUAGAUUAUUGCAAUUAUUAAUCUUCAACGAGGAAUGCCUAGUAAGCGUGAUUCAUCAAAUCGCGUUGAUUACGUCCCUGCCCUUUGUACACACCGCCCGUCGCUCCUACCGAUUGAAUGUGUUGGUGAGGCUUUGGGAUCUGAGCGGAAAGAGCGUUUCGCUGUUUCUGCUCGGAAAACUCAGUCGAACCUUAUCAUUUAGAGGAAGGAGAAGUCGUAACA